UAAGACGUAGGGGGCCAGCGUUGCUCGGAAUAACUGGGCGUAAAGGGUCCGUAGGCGGUGUGGCAAGUUGGGAGUGAAAUCUCUGGGCUUAACCCAGGGGCUGCUUCCAAAACUGCCGUGCUAGAGUGCGAGAGAGGUGAGUGGAAUUGCAGGUGUAGCGGUGAAAUGCGUAGAUAUCUGCAGGAACACCCGUGGCGAAGGCGGCUCACUGGAUCGCAACUGACGCUGAGGGACGAAAGCUAGGGGAGCAAACAGGAUUAGAUACCCUGGUAGUCCUAGCCCUAAACGAUCAGAACUUGGGGUGCAUCCCGUUGGGGGUGCGUCCCGUAGCUAACGCGUUAAGUUCUGCGCCCUGGGGAGUACGGUCGCAAGACUGAAACUCAAAGGAAUUGACGGGGGCCCGCACAAGCGGUGGAACAUGUGGUUCAAUUCGACGCAACGCGAAGAACCUUACCUAGGCUUGAACUGCACCGGGACAAAGCUAGAAAUAGCUCUCCCGAAAGGGCUGGUGUAGAGGUGCUGCAUGGCUGUCGUCAGCUCGUGCCGUGAGGGUGUUGGGUUAAGUCCCGCAACGAGCGCAACCCCUACCCUUAGUUGCUACCCGCAAGGGAGAACUCUAAGGGGACUGCUCCGGAUAACGGAGAGGAAGGCGGGGAUGAGGUCAAGUCAGCAUGGCCUUUAUGUCUAGGGCUACACACGUGUUACAAUGCAUGGUACAGACUGUCGCGAUCCCGCGAGGGGGAGCUAACCGGAAAAAACCAUGCUCAGUUCGGAUUGCAGUCUGCAACUCGACUGCAUGAAGCCGGAAUCGCUAGUAAUGGCGUAUCAGAACGACGCCGUGAAUACGUUCCCGGGCCUUGUACACACCGCCCGUCACAUCACGAAAGUGAGUUGUACUAGAAGUCGCUGAGCGAACCGCAAGGACGCAGGCGCCCAAGGUAUGACUCAUGAUUGGGGUG
rnacentral:rRNA from 1 species